rnacentral:rRNA from 1 species
UGAGGAGUCUGUCCAUCGGCGGGGGAUAGCCGGCCCAACGGCCGGGUAAUACCGCGUACGUCGGCGGGAGCGCAUGCUCCUGCCGGGAAAGCAGCAAUGCACCGAUGGAGGAUCUCGCGGCCUAUCAGCUUGUUGGUGAGGUCACGGCUCACCAAGGCGACGACGGGUAGCCGGCCUGAGAGGGUGACCGGCCACACUGGGACUGAGACACGGCCCAGACUCCGUAGGGAGG